rnacentral:miRNA from 1 species
AAAGAUAUAUUGCAGAGGGUGU